GUAAUCACUGUGAAAAAGAGGAGUAGAGGUAAUAGAGUAUAAAGAGAGGAAAACUUAUUAGUUGAGAGGUUUUCUAUAUAAGUUAUCUCCAAGGUAGCUUUAGAGUUUCUUUACUGAAAUAUUCAGUAGGUAAAGACGGUUUCUUAAUCGUUAUUUUUUUAAGAGUCUGUGAUUUUACAGGAAAAAAGGUGGUAACGCGGGCCUCCGUCCUUUAU
rnacentral:ncRNA from 1 species